rnacentral:lncRNA from 1 species
CAGUAUGAAGAUAGACAACAGCAUUUGCAACAUCUGUUGCAAUUUUUAGUCGAUUGCUCCAACAGAGUGAUCUAUCGGUAUUAUUGCCAUUAAAAAGAAGGUCCCUCAAAAGUCCAUGGUUCAACCCGAUUUCAUAGAUAAUAGCAGGUGUUUCCAAAUCUAAGCAGCAACCCAAGACCUUCAAAACAUUUUUGUGGCGGUUCAUCAGCACCGUGAAUACUAUGUCGUUGACAGCAAGGGACGGCAUUGCGUCUCCUAAACCAGAACUACGGAACUUCUUCACCAGAAUAGACCUUUGUUGAAAAAUGCCGCUGAUGUAAUAGCCCCAUACAUCCCACAUAACAGAUCUGGAAUCGCUAUCUCGAAGACUAGGGAAAUCGACGUUUGUUGCUUUAUUAAGUUCUUCAACGGUAAAGACGCGAUAAGGAAUAUCAUACCUACCAUUAGAGAAAGCAAUAAGCCCUUCUAACACCUUGCCUCCAUUUUCAAUAUACCAAGGCGAUAAUUUCUCAUUCCUCCUUUUCAAGAACCUUAUCUUUCUUUUCACCCACUCCAUGAAUAAUUGCAAAUGAUGAAACAACCCAAGUCUUCAAAACUCUUCAGAAAAAACAAUAAAAAUAAUAAUUAGAUGCUGCUGCAACUUGAAUAGCGUAGGACUUUAUUCCAAACAUACAGACAAAAUGGCAAUAAUUCAUUCUUUUGUUUCAUACCUCUCUUUCCUGGGUAUUUCACGCAAACUAAAGUCUUUGUUUGAAGUGUCAACGGAAUUCGGCAAAAAUCAAUGUGUACUAUAAAAUGUAUGAUUCCGCUAAGAGACUAAAAAUGAUACAAAGAUAAAUUAACACAAUUUCUGAACAAUUUAAGAAUCGGUUUAAUUUACGUAGGGAAAUAAAACUAACAAAACUAACACAUAAGGAAUAUCGAUCGGUAACAUAAAAAAGAAUUGGCUAUAAACAGGUAGUUAAAGGUUAAAGUAUGUUAAAGAUAGUAAAUUUGGGAUUCAAGUGUGUUUUGUAAUAUGAUUAAUUCAAAGAAAUUGUUUGUUUUGAUUUUGUUAGUAGAUAAUUAUAAUUAGUUAAAAUUUACUUUGAAAAUUAUUAGGUUAUUUUUCUUGAAAUAGAACUAGGUUUAAUUAAAGUCCAAAUAAGUAUAUAAUUAGUCCUCGUGGGAACCAUAAUCUAUUAAUCACUUUGUUAUUUGUAAUUAUGCAUCUACUUAUAGAAUAAAAUUGACAAUAAAACUACUUUUAUAUUUGAUAGUGAACUGAAAUGUACUUAUUAAGUUAUAACCUAAAAGUAAACAUAAUUUUUAUAUAAAUAAAAUAAAUUACUUUAAUAUAUUUAUGGUGUUAAAUUAAUAGCAUUCUGCUUCCUUCAAAAGAAAUGUUUAGAAAUAAAUAUAGUGUUAAAUUUUUAACUUUAGCCAGAUGUGCAAUCUGAGCAUGUUUGGCUAAGGUUAAAAGGUUUACUUACAAGUAAAUAAGUAAGUUUAAAAAUAUAAACUCUUUUAAUGGUAGAAGUUGAAAAUAAGUAACUUUUUUUUUUUAUUUAUAAAGUAAAAGGAAAUAACAUAUCGACCUUGAAUGGAUAGAUAAGUCGAUCAUAGGAGGAAAAUAAUGAUCCAAUGCACGUUUUACUUAUGAAAAAGAAAAGUUGUCAUCCAAAACUCAGAAGCUCUUUUCAUCUUUAAAUUCCAUUUUAUGUAUGGAGAACCAGCUAUCAACAGGUAGUUGAAGAUUAAAGUAUGUUAACAACAGUGAAUUCGGGAUUCUAGUGUGUUUUCUAAUAUCAUUAGUUCUAAGAAAUUGUUUGUUUUGACUGUGUUAGUAGAUAAUUAUAAUUAGUUAAAAUCUAGUUUAAACAUAAUUAGGUUAUUUUUCUUGAAAGAGAGCCAGAUUUACUUUAAGUGUGAACAAGUUAGGGUUGGCAAUGGGACGAGUUCAAGGCAAAACGAGCUGCUCGCCUCGUUGGGCAUUUUUCUGUCCCGUACCCGCCUUGCCUUAAAUGGGACGGGGUCGGGGCGGGGUGUCCCGUUUACAUACCCGUUUAUUUUUUAAUUCAUUUUAUUGUCUAUAUUCAUUCAGGUGAGACAAUAAUAUAGUUAUUAAGGGGGCGUUUGACUUGCAUUUCUAUUUUUUGUUUUCAAUUUUGAAUUCAUUUUGUAUUUUCUAUUUAAAGGAAUUAUUUUAAGUUGCAAAAAAGUGUUUGAUUUGUCAUUUGAAAAACUAUUUCUCAAAACAAAAAAUUGGAAAACACGUUUGGUUUAAAAACUUUAGAAAUAAUUUUAUGACAUUUUGGAGGAACUUGGAAAGAGAGAGAUAGAGAGAGGGAGAGGGGUAUUUGUAUUUAGGUAAGUUUUGUGUGAUUUUAUUAAUUAUUUUAAUUUCGGAAAUUUUAAGUUCAUUUUCCUUGUUUUGAGUUUUUUGAGUGUUCUCAAAACGUUAAAAAGUCAUUUUGAGUUUUGUAUCAUAAAUUUUUUGCAUUUUUGAAAAUAAUAUACAAAAUACGUUCGAGUGUUUUUAAAAAUUGAAAAUUGCCUUAAAAUGACAAACCAAACGCAUUCUUAUUUUUUAAUUAAUUAAUUAAUUUUUAAAAGUUAAAAGAUUCUAAUAUAUUUAGUAAACUAAUGUUUUUUAUUUUUUAUUAUAUUCCUUAGAUAAUUUUAGAUGCUAUCUUUUAUUAAAAUUAAUGAAAAUUCGUAAAGUUUUUUCUAUUUGAAGUAUUGAAUUCUUAAAAAAUAAAAAGAAAAAUAAAUAAAAAAAUCAAACGGGGGCGAGGCAGGGCCCUUGUUAUCCCCCUAAUUUGUUGAAGGUUUGGGGAAGCUUGUGGAGGAUCUGGGCUUGGCUCCUAUUGACACUAACGAGGUCGAUUCUGGUGAGUCGGAAAUGGCCAGUACCUGAGUUUUUGUGUCUUAAAUUGGAAGACUAGUGUACACUUUUUGAGCAAGUUAGAUUGGAUUUUUGGGUAGUCAUAAAACUUCAAGACACUGUUUUUUCUGUGCUGUUGCAUACAGUUUGACGCCGAGAGCUAUAUGUGGAGCUCAUCAAUAUUUAUAAUGCAUCUCGUUAUUUAUAGAACAUCAAAAGCAUAUGUACUUCCAUUUUUAUGUUAAAAUUGAUCUCAUCUUUCAUUUUAAGCAUAUAUGCUUUCAUCUUUUUCUUUUUCUCUUGAUUUUUUAUUUUUAUUUUCUGAAAUGUUUAGAUCCCAUUCAAGGAUAAACCCAAGUGUGCAGAGGUUCUUUUUUCCCAUAUGGUUUUACUAGACUAUUCCUCAUUGGCUUAUUGCCCAUGUCGUUCUCACUUGAUUUAGCAGCAUCAACCAUUUUGGAACUAACUGGUGCUUUAGUUUGCUAUUGUUUGCCUGUCUCCAUACCUAGUUAGUGCCUACCUGGUCUUAUGGACAUAAAUGUAUGAUAACGAUCUUGAACAAUGAUUCUAGGAAAGCUACAAAGCGCCUGCCGAAGGGGAUUCAGAAUUCUUUAAUUUCACAACGAAAUAAAUUGUUUAGACGGAUUUUUUGACGUGUUCUAAUUGAGCAAAUUUUUAGUUCCAUUUUUUUUUUUAAAGCAACAAAAGAAAGGAAACAUUUCUUUUGCAUAUAAACGACACAUGCAAUCAAUUUAAUAUAUUAAGGAUGAAAUUUACUUUUUCCUUGUAGGUUAAUGCAUUCAACUAUAUAGGGCAUUUUAGUUACAGUUCAUUGGUUACUAUAAUUUCUAUCACAGAAGUAUGCUUGAAUGACUUGAACUAGAGUCUUUGAACAUAUAUUUCACCCUCCUCUCUACUAUAAGAAAAUGUUCUCAGAGAAGGUUUAAAUGAUACAUCAAAUAUAUAUUUCAAGGAAUGUUUUCACCUCUCCCGACCUUCGUGCAAUAGUGCUGGAAAGUUUCUAAUUUUCAUGUCUCAACCUCUCAUAUUUUGUUCUUUAAACUUGAAAUUUGUUCAUUAUUUGGACUGUUGAUUCCAUCUAUACUCUAAAUUUUCUAUCUAAAUAAAAUAUGUGCAUCAUUAUAACAAAAUCUUAUUACAAACCAUUGUUAUAGACAACAGUUUCAUAAUGGAAAACAUCAGCAAACAAGAUCACAAGUUUCGUGCUCAGAUCUUUCACAAGUCUACAGCUUAUCUCGAGUAAACGUUCAUACAUUACUGGUAAGCAUCAAGUGUUUUACCCAAACAAAAUAACAAAUUAACACACCUCUGAAUCCUUGCUAGUUCUUUUGCUGCUCCUUUGAGUGGGAUAAACAGACCUCUGAAGUCUGAACCCAAGCUAGAAAUUGUUUUACCCAAUAACAUAAUAUCUUUGACAAUAUGGCUUAUCUGCUGCUCCUUUGAGUGGGAUGAACAGACCUCUGAAUCCUUACUAGUUCUUUUGCCACAUCGAUUAUGUAAGGCCUAUCUGCUCCUCUGACAACAGUACAUCUCAAAGUAAGUCUUGUGAAAGCCUGCAAUUGAUGCUCUAUUUCGCCUAUCUCCCCUAAAAUUAUUGGGUCCAAAAUUUUACUAUACUCAUUCUUCUCAACGUGGUGUUCUACAAAAUCCUCUAAACAAGGAUGUUCAUCAUCUAGAUUGCGAAGAUGACGACCAGUUAAUAGUUGAAGGAGAAUAAUUCCAAAACCGUAGACAUCAGUCUUUUCUGUGAUAAUGUUUGUUUGCACGUAGUCAGGUUCAAUAUGUCCAUGCGUCCCAGCUAAUCCUACUUCCAUCUGUGAUUCUCCGGGAGGCAAUGCUACGCAGAGUGAGAAAUCGAAAAGCUUAGCAACGCCAUUAUUGUCUAUGACAAUGUUUCUUGUGGUUAGAUCUCUAUGGAUGAUAGGUGUGGGAAAUGCAGUAUGAAGAUAGACAACAGCAUUUGCAACAUCUGUUGCAAUUUUUAGUCGAUUGCUCCAACAGAGUGAUCUAUCGGUAUUAUUGCCAUUAAAAAGAAGGUCCCUCAAAAGUCCAUGGUUCAACCCGAUUUCAUAGAUAAUAGCAGGUGUUUCCAAAUCUAAGCAGCAACCCAAGACCUUCAAAACAUUUUUGUGGCGGUUCAUCAGCACCGUGAAUACUAUGUCGUUGACAGCAAGGGACGGCAU